rnacentral:rRNA from 1 species
CAGCACCUCAAGUGGUCAGGAUGAUUAUUGGGCCUAAAGCAUCCGUAGCCGGCUCUGUAAGUUUUUGGUUAAAUCUGUACGCUCAACGUACAGGCUGCCGGGAAUACUGCAGAGCUAGGGAGUGGGAGAGGUAGACGGUACUCGGUAGGAAGGGGUAAAAUCCUUUGAUCUAUUGAUGACCACCUGUGGCGAAGGCGGUCUACCAGAACACGUCCGACGGUGAGGGAUGAAAGCUGGGGGAGCAAACCGGAUUAGAUACCCGAGUAGUCC